GGCAAGUUGCCCGAGCGGCCAAAGGGAGCGGUCUGUAAAACCGUCGCGGAAGCUACGUUGGUUCGAAUCCAACACUUGCCACCA
rnacentral:tRNA from 1 species